UACAGCUGCUCAAGGAUGAAUCAAGUGCAAGUAAGAGUUUCUAUAGGCUUCUAGUCAUGGAUUUAAAUUCGUGGAUUUGCCAAAUAAUGCUUCGUUCUCGAGUUAUGCCUAGUUUUGCUUACUUGGAAUGCCAUUGCAGCCUUUUCAGAAGAACACGUAGCCAAACUUGUUUACCGAGUGUUGCUACUCUACUUAGUAGUUAGCUCUGCACUAUAGAACGCUAGCUAUUGGUAGCUGCAAGAGUGAGAAGAGAGCUGCAAGGCUCUGCUACUUGAAUGCAGCUUUAGACUUGAACUUUUGGGCAUCAUUAACAACAAUCAUGGUCGAUCAUUACCAACUCAGCAAAUUAAAUUGUUUAUCAUGUGCUAUUAGUAGCUAUUAGUAGCUUUAUGUUAUGUAGCUUUGGUAUCUCCACCGAGGCAUCAGCACCUGCGGUGCUUUCAUUGUAUCUAGAAUUUGUAGUACUAAGAACCCUUCAUCAUCUUUCUUUGUGUGUACAGAGUAUUGCUGGAUCACAGAUGCGUGUGAUUCUCAGGUGGUGGAGCAGUCAACCAAACGUACGUGUCACAAGAAACAGUCUGAUGUUGGGUUUCCACCAUGGCAGAGCCAGACACCACACUCGUUACAUCUGUCAGUCUUCUUGUUGGAGUCCUUCCAGCAGAACGCACACCAUCCCCGUUUACAUCUCUUUGCUGGUGGUUGCAGGCACAUGUUUUGACAACAUACUCACCAAGUCCAACCUGUCUCUUCUUUUGCUUCCCCGUGUAUAUGUCAAAUUUGUGGAAAUAGCCGUUAGCACUAUCUGCCAAUACCCAUACCUUGAUCCCCCGUUUGAUCAGUUUCAUAGGCAUAUUAUAUUGCUUUAAGGAAGACUGCCCCUGAAACUUAAUCAUUGCUUCGUCCACUGCUACAUUCUGUGUAGGGUUGUACAAAGCUUCGAACCUCUCACCCAGGUGCUCAAUGAGGGGGCGGAUCUUCCCUAACCGAUUGUACGAGGGGUCACCUCGUGGAACAAGAUGGUCGUUGUCCACGAAGUGCAGAUACUGGGAGAUAUCACGGAAUCUCUGCCUUGAGAUUACAUCGGCGAUGGGUGCAUAGUGGUCUCGGCUCCAUAGUCAUUGAUCGAUGGCAGGUGAUUGAGUCCCAUGAGGAUGGAGAAUCCGAAGAAGGCCCAGAGCUCUUAAACUGUGUGUUGAGUCCACGUUCGGUAUGCCUCCUCUCCCAUUACAUGUCUAGCGUAGUUGUUGCUCUCACACACAAUGUGUUCCUGCAGAUCAUUGUUAAAAAAUAGCAGAAACACUUCUUCUGGCCUCUCUGAGAUAUCCACUGUUGGUCCUACUGCUGACUCAAAUGACUUGAUAGUCAGGGUGUGCAAUUCACUCCUCCAGGUAGGUUGCUCAUUGCCUAAAUAAAUGUGAGGGUAAUAAUAAUUAGCUGUACAUUAGUUUUGUGUGGUAGUCUAACUGAUUGUAAUUGUACUUCAUAACAUUGCACAAACCGUGUGACGAGUCGCUUGGACCACUUGUGUCGUCACUUGUGUCGUCUAGGAAAGGAUUUAUCAAUAGCAAAUUGUUAACCUUAUAAUUAUUAAUAAAUAAUUAUUGUUAAAAAUAUAACAAUAAUAGGGAAUUUCGCCUCACGUAGACAGUAAAUUUCAAAAUGAGCGUUCGGUGAGUUUCUUCAACGUCCGCGCUUGACCUGUUUAAAGCUUCGUAGAGACCCAAAUUUUUACAGGAUUGCUGUCUGUUGACGGGGGCUCCAUUUCUACAUGUUCCUCAUCAUUCAAGAUGUCUUGUAGAAGAACCUCCUCCGUGGUCCAGUGUGGCCUCUUGGCCAUGCCUGCAGCUCUAUAUUAUUAUUAAAAAAUGUUUGUUCAUGUUAUAAAUAUUUUGUGUUUGUUGGGUGGUAUAAAAACAACAGUAGUAUUCAAGUGUCUGUAUCAAAAAAAUUUCUGUAUGAUAUAAGCUUUUUACUUUAUAUGGGUACCUUGACGGUGGAUAGAAUUAGAAGGCGUCCUAGCUUCAGUCCAGCAGCAACCCCACCCAGAUUCUUUAGCAGCCAAGAGAAGCUGCAGCUGAAGCCUAUUGGUAAGGUAGAGAUGUCAGAUUGAAAGUAGUGAGUGGGAGUAUUUUUGUACAGUAAAUUCAAUGGUAAGAAAAGGGACCAGAAAGUGAGUGAACAAGAAGGGCUUUCCACAGUAAGCCCUGGAAGAGUCUAGCAGACAACAGCUGUUCCCAGGGGUAAAAAAUAGUGUAGAAUUUAAUUUUUAGAAAAGUUUUGCAAUUUGGUGUUUGUUUUGUGUGUGAUUUUUUCUCAAAGGUGAUCAUCAUUAAUUUUUGGCAACCAAAUAUUGUGCAAGGAAACUACUGGUGGUGGUCCUUCUGUGGAUGAUUUGAUUGGUUGUUGUGGUUGCGAAAUUUUGUUGCAUAGUCUGGUUUGGUGAUGAUGUGUGAUUUAAUUAUAAUGAUUUGUCUGGUCAGGAGUGCAUUCAUUCCUGGUCUGGUAUUAUGAUGAUAAUAAUGAUCUGAAUUAAUUGGUGGUCUUCACUGUUGAAUUGAUUUGCACAGCACAAACAGCUAUGGGUGUAAUUUUGUUGUCUGGUGUUAUAAUAUUAUGUAUUGUGUGUGUAUUGAUAAUACUAGGCUGAUGGUUGUCAGCUGUGGUGGUGAUUGGCUGGUAUUGUAUUGUGUGGAGUGGAUGGUUUUGUUUGAACUGCGCUCUCAAUGUAACCAUGCAUUUGCUUGUUCUCUUGCAGCCACAAUGCACACACACAGCUCCUCCUACUAGAUACUGUACUAGUGUUUCAUUCUCUCACUGCUUUUGUCUCCUCUCUCCCCCAGGUACAAACAAGCCAUGCUGCUCUGGGACCCAGGGAGGAUUACUAACCUCAUCACUGUAUAAUGUAGGUACUGAAGGGGGUGGGGCUUGACUGGAGAUGUGGGGGAGGGGCUCAGAUCUCAACGCCCACUACUAUCAUUUAUUAGUGCUCUUGACUGUUUUGUGUGGAGACAUCAAAGAUAAGUAAAGAUAAGUAAGUAUGGCUGGCUUCUUUGGUGUGUAGGUCGAUGUCUCUUCACAUCAAAAGAUAAGUAGCUCCAUUGUGUAUAGUGUCUCUCAUACUCUCUGUGUAGGUUGAUUGUGUGUGGAGGAGCCACUGUAACAGCAUACACACAAAUGAGUAGCUAGCUAUGUUGUGUGGCAAGUCUCUCAUAAUUAUGCUCUCUGUGUAGGUUGAUGGUCGUGUAUAUAUUGAUGGACAAGGCGAUGGUUUGAUGGUCUGGCACUACCUAACACUGAAUGGCUGCUGUACUUGUUCCUUGGUCUAGAGGGGGGUCUGGGGGUCCUUUCCCGGAAAAAUUGUUGAGGAAUGGUUAUCUGAGGUGAUAGCUGAGGAGAAUGCCAGAAGACCCAACAGUGUCACCAAGUGUUUCACACACAUGCUCGUAGAGUGGUUGCAAGGUGGUCCACAACUGGAGGACUUGUUAACAGCUCUAGAGUCUCCCGUUAUCAGUAGAGCUGACAUUGCUGAGGACCUCAAGGGAAGACUGCAAGUGACUCUAGCCUGACAAUAUCCUCUAGCCAUUAUAAACUGUGACUGAUGGCAUUUAUUUUUUAAUUAAUUUGUUCUUUAUCAAUUAUAAGUGUUUGUGUGGUGACUACUAGCACUCUAUCCACCAUAAUUAUA